CCAUGAUUCUAGAAUUUUGUGACUCUGAAAUGCUAGGAUUCACUGAAACAUCUUUUUGCUUGAAUAGACCAGGAUUCAUUGCCUACCCUCUCCUGCUACCCUUAGGAAACGAAGCUGAAAAUAGAAACAUCAAAACAACAAGCCAUUCCAGCUCUAAGUGCCAUAGUAAACAAAUGGUCCAAUGUUGCUCCGAUGGUUUAAUUGCAGCAGCUCCAGACAAGCUCAUUCAUGAAGCAUCUUCAGUUGAUGAAGAGGAGGAGUGAGGCCUUGGGGGAAGGGGUGGCUUGUGGCUAUCUCUGAGAAGGUAUCUGAACUGCCAUCCCAGCUGUUCCCUUAAAGUGACUGGCAACAAUGGAUCCUUUCUAUUCACGAAUUCCCGGGCCUGUAGUGUGGCUGUGGUGGGCUCCUAGGUGCUUCCCUGCGUUUUCCAAAUGGUGACAAGAUGUGAACCCCUGCGGCAUAAGGGCAAAGCUGAAUCCACGGGGAUCGGGAGCCACUGUAGAUUCUUGAACAGGGUAAAUUAAAGGCAAGAACAACUUGAGGUCAGAACGGAGAACCUCAGAGCUGGAAGGUGCCUCGUGUAAUUGGGCCCAGAGAAGCCAGGGGGUUGCUGGAUUUGUGCCCUGAUCACUGCUUAACAAUUAAACAAUUGUGUAAAGUUUCCUACCCGUGACCUGGGGUUCUUUCAGGGUGUAGAGGAAAUGGAGUGAAAUGAAUUCCAGGUGCCAGUUUAAUUUCACGAAGUUCAGAAUGCCUGCCAAACACAGGGAUUUGAUGCAGGUUCCCUGACUGAAGGACUGCAGGGAGGAAGGGGUAUCUGCAGGCUCUUGGCUCAGGUUUUCCUCUUCUAACACUCACACACAAAGCAGGGCCUUACUUAUCCUCCAGGCUGAUUGUCGCUCAACAGUCCCUGGGCUUCACAUAUGUAGGCUUUUCAGCACACCCGUGGAAUCAAACAGACAAGGAUUUGAAUUCUUAUCUUGCACCUACACGCUGUGUGACCUGGGGCAAGUCGCUUAACCUCUCUGGGCUUCCAUUUCCUCAUGUAUCAAUACAGUCCUCUCCUAUUUGGUUACUGUGAGGAUCGAGUAAGAUAUGUUCAUACAGUGCUUGGUGUAGUGCCUGGUGUGUGGUGAAAGCUGUUGUUGUUAUUUUAGGCAUUAAAAUCCCGUGGCCCCCACACACAAAACUUCAGACACAUGCUGUUGACAUGGGGAUGAUUAAGAGAUUUACCUUUUAGAAACAUAAAAGAAUGAUUAAAAAGGAAGGGUUAUUUUGGUGACAGGGUAGAGGAUGCAUUAGGAGGAAG
ensembl:lncRNA